GACGAACCGUGCGAACGUUGUUCGGAAUCACUGGGCUUAAAGGGCGCGUAGGCGGCUUGCCAAGUCAGGGGUGAAAUCUUUCGGCUCAACCGGAAAAGUGCCUUUGAUACUGGCGAGCUCGAGGGAGGUAGGGGUAUGUGGAACUUCCGGUGGAGCGGUGAAAUGCGUUGAUAUCGAUAGGAACUCCGGUGGCGAAGGCGGCAUACUGGACCACUUCUGACGCUGAGGCGAGAAAGCCAGGGGAGCGAACGGG
rnacentral:rRNA from 1 species